rnacentral:tRNA from 2 species
GGAAGGGUAAGCCUAACGGUAAGGCAGUAGUUUGCUAAACUAUCAGUAAUCAAUAUUUUAUAUUGGUGUGUGGGUUCAAGUCCCGCUCCUUCCGCCA